rnacentral:rRNA from 1 species
UACGAAGGGGGCUAGCGUUGUUCGGAUUUACUGGGCGUAAAGCGCACGUAGGCGGAUCUUUAAGUCAGAGGUGAAAUCCCGGAGCUCAACUUCGGAACUGCCUUUGAUACUGAGAAGCUUGAGUCCGGGAGAGGUGAGUGGAACUGCGAGUGUAGAGGUGAAAUUCGUAGAUAUUCGCAAGAACACCAGUGGCGAAGGCGGCUCACUGGCCCGGUACUGACGCUGAGGUGCGAAAGCGUGGGGAGCAAACAGG